CUACGGGAGGCAGCAGUAGGGAAUCUUCCGCAAUGGACGAAAGUCUGACGGAGCAACGCCGCGUGAACGAUGAAGGCCUUCGGGUCGUAAAGUUCUGUUGUCAGGGAAGAACAAGUACCGGAGUAACUGCCGGUACCUUGACGGUACCUGACCAGAAAGCCACGGCUAACUACGUGCCAGCAGCCGCGGUAAUACGUAGGUGGCAAGCGUUGUCCGGAAUUAUUGGGCGUAAAGCGCGCGCAGGCGGUUCCUUAAGUCUGAUGUGAAAGCCCCCGGCUCAACCGGGGAGGGUCAUUGGAAACUGGGGAACUUGAGUGCAGAAGAGGAGAGCGGAAUUCCACGUGUAGCGGUGAAAUGCGUAGAGAUGUGGAGGAACACCAGUGGCGAAGGCGGCUCUCUGGUCUGUAACUGACGCUGAGGCGCGAAAGCGUGGGGAGCGAACAGGAUUAGAUACCCUGGUAGUCCACGCCGUAAACGAUGAGUGCUAAGUGUUAGAGGGUUUCCGCCCUUUAGUGCUGCAGCAAACGCAUUAAGCACUCCGCCUGGGGAGUACGGCCGCAAGGCUGAAACUUAAAGGAAUUGACGG
rnacentral:rRNA from 1 species